GAGUGGUCUUCGAAACCUGUUUCAAUCGAUGGAUAAGACAAUAGAAGGCAAAAAAAUCCCAAGAUGAUGACGGUGAUGUCAUAAUACACAGAACUGUUCUGGUCUUUCGCUGCAACACCCACUCUUCUCCAUCAAUCACUGUUAGUAACAAUUUCUUCACCGUUAUCUUGGACAACCUAGUGAUUUUUAUUGAACACAUUUGAGUCGUUUCAAUUUUUUACCCAGUGAACAGUUGAAAAUGUCAAUUUAUAUGAGUUUGGCUAAUUCCGGUUUUAAUCUCGAAAGCUUCUUUAGAAAGGUCGUGUGUGUGAUGCCGGAGAGGGGAGAAGGGGUGCGAGAAAAAAGACAACGAAAAGAAAAAUUAAUGUAAAAUCUAUCGUGCAUGGCGACAACCGGACGGCUUAGACUCCGCCUCUUAAGACUUCUUCAAACCGAUAGCCAGCGAACGGUUUCACCACCAUCAGGCAUCAGUUGAUCCGCAGCGCGCUCGACUAUUCAUUUUACGUGCGUGAGUCUAAUAUUAUAUUAUUAUCGCUAGUUUCGUUUUAUUAAAUGUAUAUCAUGUCCAUUACACACAAAUUUUAAACCGAUUUUACAUUCGUGUAUCGAUUUAGUGGUUUGGUCGUCUGUGUUAUACUGUUGUUGUUUGCUUGCUGUAAAUACUCACCAAUUACUUACAACGCGUGGGAAUAGAUAAAUCGACCGA